GAUGAACGCUGGCGGCGUGCCUAAUACAUGCAAGUCGAGCGAACAGACGAGGAGCUUGCUCCUCUGACGUUAGCGGCGGAAGGGUGAGUAACACGUGGAUAACCUACCUAUAAGACUGGGAUAACUUCGGGAAACCGGAGCUAAUACCGGAUAAUAUAUUGAACCGCAUGGUUCAAUAGUGAAAGACGGUUUUGCUGUCACUUAUAGAUGGAUCCGCGCCGCAUUAGCUAGUUGGUAAGGUAACGGCUUACCAAGGCGACGAUGCGUAGCCGACCUGAGAGGGUGAUGGGCCACACGGGAACUGAGACACGGUCCAGACUCCUACGGGAGGAAGCAGUAGGGAAUCUUCCGCAAUGGGCGAAAGCCUGACGGAGCAACGCCGCGUGAGUGAUGAAGGUCUUCGGAUCGUAAAACUCUGUUAUUAGGGAAGAACAAAUGUGUAAGUAACUAUGCACGUCUUGACGGUACCUAAUCAGAAAGCCACGGCUAACUACGUG
rnacentral:rRNA from 1 species